GUUUUAGGGUUUAGGGUUUAGAGUUGAAGGUUUAGGGUUUAGGGUUUAGAGUUGAUGUUUUAGGGUUUAGGGUUAAUUUUUAGGGUUUAGAGUUGAUGUUUUAGGGUUUAGGGUUAAUUUUUACGGUUUAGGGUUUAGAGUUUACUCUUUAGGGUUUAGGGUUUAGUGUUGAUAGUUUAGGGUUUAGUGUUGAUGAUUUAGGGUGUAGAGGUGAAGUUUAGGGUUUUGGGUUUAGAGUUGAUGUUUUAGGUUUUAGAGUUGAAGGUUUAGGGUUUAGGGUUUAGAGUUAAAGUUUCGGGGUUUAGGGUUUAGAGUUGUUGUUUCAGGGUUUAGGGUUCGUAUUUAUAAAAAUAUAGGGUUUAGGAUUGAUGGUUUAGGGUUUAGAAUUGAGUUUUAGGGUUUAGUGUUUGAAUUUCGAAAUAUGGUUUAAUGGCUUAGGGUUUAAAAUUAUUUUUUAUUUUUUUAGAAUUUUUAUUUAUUUAAAUAUUUAUUUAUUAUUUUAAUAUUUAUUUAUUAUAUACAUAAGAGUCUUUUAUCAUUUAAUGAA
rnacentral:lncRNA from 1 species